rnacentral:rRNA from 1 species
UAAGCGGAGGAAAAGAAACUAACAAGGAUUCCCCUAGUAACUGCGAGUGAAGCGGGAAAAGCUCAAAUUUAAAAUCUGGUGGUCUUUGGCCAUCCGAGUUGUAAUCUAGAGAAGCGUCUUUCCGCGCUGGACCGUGCACAAGUCUCCUGGAACGGAGCGUCGUAGAGGGUGAGAAUCCCGUCUUUGGCAUGGACACACCAGGGCUUUUGUGAUGCGCUCUCGAAGAGUCGAGUUGUUUGGGAAUGCAGCUCAAAAUGGGUGGUGAACUCCAUCUAAAGCUAAAUAUUGGCGAGAGACCGAUAGCGAACAAGUACCGUGAGGGAAAGAUGAAAAGCACUUUGGAAAGAGAGUGAAACAGUACGUGAAAUUGUUGAAAGGGAAACGCUUGAAGUCAGUCGCGUCGACCGAGACUCAGCCUCGCCUCGGCUUGGUGUACUUCUCGGCCCGACGGGUCAGCAUCAAUUUCGCCUCUUGGAUAAUGGCGAGGGAAACGUGACACCUUUACGGUGUGUUAUAGUCUCUCGUCGCAUGCAAGGGUCGGGAUUGAGGAACUCAGCACGCGCCUUUGGGCGUCGGGGCUUUGCCUACGAUACGUGCUUAGGAUGUUGGCGUAAUGGCUUUAAACGACC